ACACGACUCUCGGCAACGGAUAUCUCGGCUCUCGCAUCGAUGAAGAACGUAGCGAAAUGCGAUACCUGGUGUGAAUUGCAGAAUCCCGCGAACCAUCGAGUCUUUGAACGCAAGUUGCGCCCGAGGCCACUUGGCCGAGGGCACGCCUGCCUGGGCGUCACGU
rnacentral:rRNA from 1 species